rnacentral:lncRNA from 1 species
AAAAAAUUACGCGAUUCUUCUCUGAAGAAAGAAACGCCGUCAUGUUUCUUCUCACUUCUUCAAUCGCGAUUCAGCCAUGCUUCUUCAUACAUCUCCUUCCUUUCCUUCNNNNNNNNNNNNNNNNCAUCUCCUUCCUUUCCUUCACUUUUGUUUCAUCUCAUCUCUCUGUUUCAAACCAACCCUAACCUAGCCUUGUUUCAUUUCAUCCCAUCUCUCUGUUUUCAUCUCAUCCCAUCUCUCUCUCUCUGUUUUCAUCUCAUCCCAUCUCUCUGUUUUCAUCUAUCUAAUUUUUUUCUUUGUUCUGUCUGUUUUCAUCUCUG